ACGUACACUCCUGCGGGAGGCAGCAGUGGGGAAUCUUGGACAAUGGGCGAAAGCCUGAUCCAGCCAUGCCGCGUGCAGGAUGAAGGCCUUCGGGUUGUAAACUGCUUUUGUACGGAACGAAACGGCCUUUUCUAAUAAAGAGGGCUAAUGACGGUACCGUAAGAAUAAGGACCGGCUAACUACGUGCCAGCAGCCGCGGUAAUACGUAGGGUGCAAGCGUUAAUCGGAAUUACUGGGCGUAAAGCGUGCGCAGGCGGUUAUGUAAGACAGUUGUGAAAUCCCCGGGCUCAACCUGGGAACUGCAUCUGUGACUGCAUAGCUAGAGUACGGUAGAGGGGGAUGGAAUUCCGCGUGUAGCAGUGAAAUGCGUAGAUAUGCGGAGGAACACCGAUGGCGAAGGCAAUCCCCUGGACCUGUACUGACGCUCAUGCACGAAAGCGUGGGGAGCAAACAGGAUUAGAAACCCGGGUAGUCCCAUG
rnacentral:rRNA from 1 species